rnacentral:snoRNA from 1 species
AACAAAAACAUAAGCGUGACAAUUGGGUUUUCAUGCUAUUUUAUGAUAUGUGCCUUACUCACAAUUUGUUACGGUAUCAUCACAUCACCCAUCUGAUG